rnacentral:rRNA from 1 species
ACCCAAAAAACCCACUAAAACACAUAUUAAAAAACAAUUACAAUGUACACCUAAUCUUACUAACAAUAAUACAAGUACUAUAAAGGAAAGAAAACUGAACAAAAGUAGUGAUAUAUCCACAUACCUUGUGCACUAUGGUUUUACAAGCACAUAAUUAAACAUAAAAUUCCCGAAUUCUACACGAGCUGCUAAAACGUUGUUAAGAACCCACUACUAGUUGUAGCAUCAACCUUAGAAAACCUUUCAGCAGAGGCCACAUACCAAACGCGUAAGAAAAUUGCUGGUUCUCAGUAAACUUUAUCAAUUAAUACAUGUAAUUAUAAUUACAGUGUAAUCUUACAGAGGAUAAACCCUGUAAAGAAAGCUUAACUUAAAAUAAAAGUAGUUCAUUUAUAGGCCUAAAAACAGUCACCAAUAAUACUUUAUCAUAAACAACCCUUUUUCAAUUAUUAUUUAGACUAGCUACAAAAAGAUGAGAUUUAUGCCAAAUAAUAGAGCCUAAAAUUUUAUGUAAAAAUAAGUAUUUAACCC